CCGGCCGCUGGCAACAUCGGUCCAAUCCUUAAAGUCAUCCUCAGUUCGGACUGGGGUCUGCAACCCGACCCCACGAAGCUGGAUUCGCUAGUAAUCGCGCAUCAGCCAUGGCGCGGUGAAUACGUUCCCGGGCCUUGUACACACCGCCCGUCAAGCCAUGAAAGCCGGGGGCGCCUGAAGUCCGUGACCGCGAGGGUCGGCCUAGGGUGAAACCGGUGAUUGGGGCUAAGUCGUAACAAGGUACC
rnacentral:rRNA from 1 species